rnacentral:rRNA from 1 species
AUGAACGCUGGCGGUAUGCUUAACACAUGCAAGUCGAACGGUCUCUUCGGAGAUAGUGGCGGACGGGUGAGUAACGCGUGAGAAUCUGUCUUCAGGUCGGGGACAACCACUGGAAACGGUGGCUAAUACCGGAUGUGCCUUUGGGUGAAAGAUUAAUUGCCUGGAGAUGAGCUCGCGUCUGAUUAGCUAGUAGGUGUGGUAAGAGCGCACCUAGGCGACGAUCAGUAGCUGGUCUGAGAGGAUGAUCAGCCACACUGGGACUGAGACACGGCCCAGACUCCUACGGGAGGCAGCAGUGGGGAAUUUUCCGCAAUGGGCGAAAGCCUGACGGAGCAAUACCGCGUGAGGGAGGAAGGCUCUUGGGUUGUAAACCUCUUUUCUCAAGGAAGAACACAAUGACGGUACUUGAGGAAUCAGCAUCGGCUAACUCCGUGCCAGCAGCCGCGGUAAUACGGAGGAUGCAAGCGUUAUCUGGAAUGAUUGGGCGUAAAGCGUCCGCAGGUGGCUUUGUAAGUCUGCUGUUAAAGAGUGAGGCUCAACCUCAUAAAAGCAGUGGAAACUACAAGGCUAGAGGUACGUUCGGGGCAGAAGGAAUUCCUGGUGUAGCGGUGAAAUGCGUAGAGAUCAGGAAGAACACCGGUGGCGAAAGCGUUCUGCUAGGCCGUAACUGACACUGAGGGACGAAAGCUAGGGGAGCGAAUGGGAUUAGAUACCCCAGUAGUCCUAGCCGUAAACGAUGGAUACUAGGCGUGGCUUGUAUCGACCCGAGCCGUGCCGGAGCUAACGCGUUAAGUAUCCCGCCUGGGGAGUACGCACGCAAGUGUGAAACUCAAAGGAAUUGACGGGGGCCCGCACAAGCGGUGGAGUAUGUGGUUUAAUUCGAUGCAACGCGAAGAACCUUACCAAGACUUGACAUGUCGCGAACCUUUGUGAAAGCAGAGGGUGCCUUCGGGAGCGCGAACACAGGUGGUGCAUGGCUGUCGUCAGCUCGUGUCGUGAGAUGCUGGGUUAAGUCCCGCAACGAGCGCAACCCUCGUUUUUAGUUGCCAGCAUUAAGUUGGGCACUCUAGAGAGACUGCCGGUGACAAACCGGAGGAAGGUGGGGAUGACGUCAAGUCAGCAUGCCCCUUACGUCUUGGGCUACACACGUACUACAAUGCUACGGACAAAGGGCAGCAAGCUAGUGAUAGCAAGCAAAUCUCAUAAACCGUAGCUCAGUUCAGAUCGCAGGCUGCAACUCGCCUGCGUGAAGUCGGAAUCGCUAGUAAUUGCAGGUCAGCAUACUGCAGUGAAUUCGUUCCCGGGCCUUGUACACACCGCCCGUCACACCAUGGAAGCUGGCAACGCCCGAAGUCAUUACUCCAACUGUUCGCAGAGGAGGAUGCCUAAGGCAGUGCUGGUGACUGGGGUG